rnacentral:lncRNA from 1 species
GAUUGAAUCGAGUAGCCUAGGAAUAGUAUUCAUCAAUUGAUUCUUUCUCAUUUCUUGAAAACGCUGGUGAUUACUCUAUGUUUUCUACUGUAUGGAAGUACAAUAAAUGCUUUGUUAAAUGUUAUCUUAUUAAAUCUUAUUUUUUUUUUGUUUAAUCUUAGGGGUUUGAAUGUUCUAAACACAUAAGUGUUAUUGUAGUUGCUAACACUGGAAGGUGCAAUGACAGUUUGAGCUGUCUUUCAUACCGUGUAAGUACUUAGUAUACUGCUGAAGAUUCAUGCUGGGGAUCCUAGUUUAUCCAUAGCAUACUUUAUUUUUUUGUUUUCGAGUUAUUGCUUCGAC